UACAGAGGGUGCGAGCGUUAAUCGGAAUUACUGGGCGUAAAGCGUGCGCAGGCGGUUGUGCAAGACAGGUGUGAAAUCCCCGGGCUUAACCUGGGAACUGCACUUGUGACUGCACGACUUGAGUACGGCAGAGGGGGAUGGAAUUCCGCGUGUAGCAGUGAAAUGCGUAGAUAUGCGGAGGAACACCGAUGGCGAAGGCAGUCCCCUGGGCCUGUACUGACGCUCAUGCACGAAAGCGUGGGGAGCAAACGGG
rnacentral:rRNA from 1 species